rnacentral:lncRNA from 1 species
UUCUAUUCAAUAGAAAGUCACGUUCAGCUAUUCAGACCGACCAGAUUUUGUGUUGUGCUAGCCAUUCGGCUCAUCUCCCGGCUUAAUUUCCGACUUUCCCCACAUAUUCGGCUCAUCCAGCCGAACCGAAGAGUGAAAAGAGCUUUCGGACCUGGCUGAUUCGAUCUCGGCUCUUUCAGCCUACCAGUUACUGUGUACUUUUUCCAUUCGAUUCUUCUGCUGACAUUGAUCCCUGCACAGUUCAUACAUUCGGCUCCUCCAGCCGAACCGAUUCUAUAGUAGUGAUUUUCGAACCCGGCUGGCUCGAUCCCUCGUCAAUCGAAUCGCCUGAUCUAUCGAAGGGCGCAAACUUCGAGGGUCGCUAUCCGUAGCCGUUCCGCAUCCCGACGCGCUCCUAGAGGAGGAUCGUUGACUAGGUCCAGGGUCGGGAAUUUCGGCCACCAACAGUAAUCAAAUUAAUACACCAAUUUUAUCUUUAUAAUAUAUUAUUUUAAAUUCAAACUAAAAAUUAAAUAUUAAAAAUUUAUGUAAAAAUUUUAAAAUGAUGUCACAAUUUUAAAUAUAUUCUAAAAAAAUUAAAAUUUGAAAUUGAACGGAUAAUUGAAAAUAUAAAACUAAAUUUCGAUUUAUUCACAUUCAAACUUAAAAUUAUAAUUUAAAUUUUAAUUUGAAUCCAUAAAUUUAAUUUAAAUUUUAAAUAAAAUUUGAAUGAAACUUUAGAUUUUAAAUUAAAUUUAAAUUUAAAUUCAAAUUUAUAAAUUAGAUUUGAAAUGCUUGAUUGAAUUUUAAUUUUUAAUUUAAGUUCAAAUUGAAAUUUAAAUUUAUAAAUAUAAUUUUUAAACUUAAACUUAUAUUUUAAAUAAAAAAAUAAGCUUAAAAAGUUAUACUGAAUACAAACAAAUUCAUUCUAUCCGGAUUCAAUUUCCAAUCCGGCCUCCUAGACCGGAUUCAAAAAAAGGAUAAUUUGGGGAAUUCCCAUUCACCCGGGAAUCGGAAUCGUAAUACAAAUCCCGCAUACCAAACACGAACAAACAUAUUCGUCUAUUCCAAUUCCGAUUCCAGAGUUAAAAAUAGGCGAACCAAACACACCCUAACUUCUUAAUAUAGAGCUAUAGCUACCAAUGUUUUAAAAUCCGAAACCGUUUACGAUCCCAAAAUAUUGCUAGGUCACAGGUCAUUAGUUUAAUAAUUGGUGUAAUCACUAGAUUGAAUGACGUAUGUCACAACAACAAAAUAUAUUUUAGAUAACGUUCUAUUCUACCAUCUUCAAUUGGCAUGUACCAACACCAUGAUUAAGUAUCGCCAAUAAACAUAUUUUUAUCAAAUACUGAUUAAAAAUUUUUGACGCUAUAUUAUAGCGCUGAUAUAUUUAUCCCGAUAUAUUUAUUCUGACAUAUUUAUUUAACGAUUCUUUGCUCGACGCUUUUACAAGCGUGGGGCUUAUUUUUGCCAAUGCUUUAAAACGUAAUUAGUUAUUGUUUAAAGUGUUUUUAAGUACAAGAUUUGUUGUAGUCACAAUGACGUUAUAAAUAUUUAAUUAUUAUUUUUCAUGCUAUAUAUAAUAAAAAAAUUAUGAAAAAUAUUUAAUUUAUUCAUGGUUGA